UACGGAGGAUCCAAGCGUUAUCCGGAAUCAUUGGGUUUAAAGGGUCCGUAGGCGGUUUUAUAAGUCAGUGGUGAAAUCCGGCAGCUCAACUGUCGAACUGCCAUUGAUACUGUAGGACUUGAAUUAUUGUGAAGUAACUAGAAUAUGUAGUGUAGCGGUGAAAUGCUUAGAUAUUACAUGGAAUACCCAUUGCGAAGGCAGGUUACUAACAAUAUAUUGACGCUGAUGGACGAAAGCGUGGGGAGCGAACAGG
rnacentral:rRNA from 1 species